rnacentral:rRNA from 1 species
GACGAACGCUGGCGGCGUGCUUAACACAUGCAAGUCGAGCGGAGCGGCGAACGGGUGAGUAACGCGUGAGUAACUGCCCCCCUCUCUGGGAUAACAGUUGGAAACUGCUGCUAAUACCGGAUAGUGGGGGAUGACUCGGGUCCUAUCAGCUUGUUGGUGGGGUAGUGGCCUACCAAGGCGACGACGGGUAGCCGGCCUGAGAGGGGGAACGGCCACAUUGUGCUGAGAUACGGACCAAACUCCUACGGGGGGCAGCAGGGGGGAAUAUUGGGCAAAGGGGGAAACGCUGAGGCAGCAACGCCGCGUGGGGGAUGACUGCCUUGGGGUUGUAAACCGCUUGUAGCCAUGACGCGUUAGUGGCAGAAGAAGCACCGGCUAACUACGUGCCAGCAGCCGCGGUAAUAC